GAUGAACGCUAGCUACAGGCUUAACACGUGCAAGUCGAGGGGAAACGACAUCGAAAGCUUGCUUUUGAUGGGCGUCGACCGGCGCACGGGUGAGUAACGCGUAUCCAACCUGCCCACCACUUGGGGAUAACCUUGCGAAAGUAAGACUAAUACCCAAUGACGUCUCUAGAAGACAUCUGAAGGAGAUUAAAGAUUUAUCGGUGAUGGAUGGGGAUGCGUCUGAUUAGCUUGUUGGCGGGGUAACGGCCCACCAAGGCGACGAUCAGUAGGGGUUCUGGGAGGAAGGUCCCCCACAUUGGAACUGAGACACGGUCCAAACUCCUACGGGAGGCAGCAGUGAGGAAUAUUGGUCAAUGGGCGAGAGCCUGAACCAGCCAAGUAGCGUGCAGGAUGACGGCCCUAUGGGUUGUAAACUGCUUUUAUAAGGGAAUAAAGUGAGUCUCGUGAGACUUUUUGCAUGUACCUUAUGAAUAAGGACCGGCUAAUUCCGUGCCAGCAGCCGCCGUAA
rnacentral:rRNA from 1 species